rfam:Capsicum annuum cultivar Zunla-1 chromosome 5, whole genome shotgun sequence
UAAUGAUGGUAAGGGCAAUUUCUGAGCAUACUUUUAAAUCUCUCCCAAGCUUGGUAGAGAUGCUCUCCUACUUUCUGUGUAAAACUCAGAAUCUCACUUCUCAUACG